rnacentral:rRNA from 1 species
AUUGAACGCUGGCGGCAUGCUUUACACAUGCAAGUCGAACGGUAACAGGCCUUCGGGCGCUGACGAGUGGCGAACGGGUGAGUAAUGCAUCGGAACGUGCCCAGUCGUGGGGGAUAACGCAGCGAAAGCUGUGCUAAUACCGCAUACGAUCUGCGGAUGAAAGCGGGGGACCUUCGGGCCUCGCGCGAUUGGAGCGGCCGGUGUCCGAUUAGGUAGGUGGUGGGGUAAAGGCUCACCAAGACAACGAUCUGUAGCUGGUAUGAGAGGACGACCAGCCCACCUGGGACUGGGACACGGCCCAGACUCCUACGGGAGGCAGCAGUGGGGAAGUUUGGACAAUGGGCGCAAGCCUGAUCCAGCAAUGACGCGUGCAGGAAGAAGGCCUUCGGGUUGUAAACUGCUUUUGUACGGAGCGAAAAGGCUCCCUCUAAUACAGGAGGCUCAUGACGGUACCGUAAGAAUAAGCACCGGCUAACUACGUGCCAGCCGCCGCCGUAACAC